UGAACGUCAUAGUUGAAAUUAAACUUCCGCGUAUUAUAAAAGAAAGAAUUUAUUACAAAUUACAAAAGGUUGGUAUUUUUUUAUUUUUAGAAUCAAAAGUUAGGUCUAUUAUAGAAGAAGAAUGAAAACGUAUUUACUUUCGUGGUUAUAUAUGGUCAACAUGCUUAAAUAUCCACUACAUUGCUUUUUAACUUUUUUUGAUUGAGAACCAUUACUAAUUAAAUUGAAAAAGGUGACCCUACAUUAAUGUUUGUGAACAUUGAUAUACCCGUCACUCUAGUUUUUUAGUUCCCAACUUCUAGGGACCUUUGAAAAGUAGUUAAAUACUUCAUAGCUAGUGGACUGGACAAUCUCCUUUAGAUUCUAGGCUUUUCUAGCCUAUACUUUUUGCAGUCUGGAUACUCAAUUAUCAAUGAAUUCAAAUUUGGCGGUAUCUGUGCUCAUGCUUCAUACUUGUUUUUUUUUGAGGAGCAAUGUUAAAGGAGGUAUAAAAAUACAUAAUUUUGUAUUACAAUUCAUAGGAAGAGUUAUAAGUAGUGGAAGUAUGUCACUAUAUGGCCUACCAUCAUAUAUUCAUCAAUCAAAACUCAUUACAUAAAAAGUUACGGCACAAAAUUGUGUAUCUUUAUAUAUCUAUACCAUUACUCUUUGUUUGAGAGAUAUUGUUAUUUUAGGAGAACUUUUUGGUAAAGCAAUGGUGAUAAAGCUUGUUGCCCUUGCCAAACCCAAAAGUCAUAAACGGACAUAGGCCAAAAUUAAUUAUUGUACAUUGAUUCAAGCUAGAAAUACACAUCUCAGCAGCAGCAACAACAACAAAAAAAAAAAAAAAGAAAAAGAAAAAGAAAGCAGCUAGAAAUACGCACAUCGAGGGGACCAAUAUCUUUACUUCUGUACGAGCACUGAUCAAUUCUUUAGUAUUCUUUUUGGCCCAUUAGAUCGAGUUGUGAGUUCAAACCAUCUUUGUUUAUGUUUCAAAAUUCAUGGUAUUACGUGUAAUUUAUCAAUUUUAAAAAAUAUUGGUCAUAGGAUACCACAUGUUAGUUUGCAUUUGGAUGAGCUAUUUAGAUUACUUAUUUAGUUGAAAGUUUGUUUAUACGUUCAGAAUAUGAAAUUCUAAGAAAUUGUACAUAAAUAGAUUAAGCUAAAAAAUUUUAGAAUGUGAUCAACCAUAUAUACCUAGAAUAUUAAAGACUAGCCCGUGGUAAGGUGGAACUUACAACGAAUGUGAGGUAUGAGCAGAAGGGACUUUUCAUUUGACAAGGAUUUGCAUGGAAACAUCACAACUUUUGGUCCUUUUAUAUGUUUCAUGGACCAGACUCAGAAAUCAUCACCAAGAAAGUCAAAACAAAUUAAGACCCAAUCAGAACAAGGGUUCCACAUGGCCAAAAUCAGAGUUAAGACUUAAAGAAGGCAAUAAUUGAAGAAACCAGACUUUCAUUGGUCCAUCAUGUUCUUCUCUUGCUCCAUCUUCAUCUUCACUCUUGCCCCAGCACAAGCUCUCAAUUUGACUUCAUACCAUUUACUUUAGUAUAUCUUAACAUCGAUUACACCAAAUCUCCCGGUAAGUUAAUCUACCCACACCCCCAUUCUUCGGUCACAUGAUCGGUCUUGAAGACAAGAGCUGCGAAGUCCCUUAACGUGUGUUUGGCUUCAAUAUUUCUUCUUUUUUUCGUCUCCUCCGCGUCUAUUUUGUUUCACGAGAGGGAGAAGAAAGAAGAAGAAGAAAGAGAAGAAAAAGAAAAAAAAGUUGUUUGAUAAUUGAUACAUCUAACUUUAAAUAUCUUUUCUCCCAACUAUUGAGUCAUCAAAAAAAAAAAAAAAAAAAAAAAAAAAAAAAAAAAAU